rnacentral:rRNA from 1 species
AUUGAACGCUGGCGGCAGGCCUAACACAUGCAAGUCGAGCGGAUGAAGGGAGCUUGCUCCUGGAUUCAGCGGCGGACGGGUGAGUAAUGCCUAGGAAUCUGCCUGGUAGUGGGGGAUAACGUCCGGAAACGGGCGCUAAUACCGCAUACGUCCUGAGGGAGAAAGUGGGGGAUCUUCGGACCUCACGCUAUCAGAUGAGCCUAGGUCGGAUUAGCUAGUUGGUGGGGUAAAGGCCUACCAAGGCGACGAUCCGUAACUGGUCUGAGAGGAUGAUCAGUCACACUGGGGCUGACACACGGUCCAGACUCCGACGGGAGGCAGCAGUGGGGAAGAUUGGACGAUGGGCGAAAGCCUGAUCCAGCCAUGCCGCGUGGGUGAAGAAGGUCUUCGGAUUGUAAAGCACUUUAAGUUGGGAGGAAGGGCAGUAAGUUAAUACCUUGCUGUUUGGACGUUACCAACAGAAUAGGCACCGGCUAACUUCGU